rnacentral:rRNA from 1 species
AUUGAACGCUGGCGGUAGGCCUAACACAUGCAAGUCGAACGGCAGCACAGUAAGAGCUUGCUCUUACGGGUGGCGAGUGGCGGACGGGUGAGGAAUACAUCGGAAUCUACUUUUUCGUGGGGGAUAACGUAGGGAAACUUACGCUAAUACCGCAUACGACCUACGGGUGAAAGCAGGGGAUCUUCGGACCUUGCGCGAUUGAAUGAGCCGAUGUCGGAUUAGCUAGUUGGCGGGGUAAAGGCCCACCAAGGCGACGAUCCGUAGCUGGUCUGAGAGGAUGAUCAGCCACACUGGAACUGAGACACGGUCCAGACUCCUACGGGAGGCAGCAGUGGGGAAUAUUGGACAAUGGGCGCAAGCCUGAUCCAGCCAUACCGCGUGGGUGAAGAAGGCCUUCGGGUUGUAAAGCCCUUUUGGUGGGAAAGAAAAGCAGCAGGUUAAUACCCCGCUGUUCUGACGGUACCCAAAGAAUAAGCACCGGCUAACUUCGUG